CGCUCGUGUCUUCCCUCUGAUGUCCAGUGUUAGAGCAAGCGUGCAGGGACGCUGGGGCUGGCCCGGGACCAGCCUUCUCGCGCCAUGCCUCCCUCUCCUGCUUCUGCUACAAACCCAACACUCUCAGUCCAGUCUUUCUGUGGCAGAAGCAGGGGCCCACGUGACCCUACGGUUAGCCGGACGGAGACCCUGAUGGCCUCUGUGCCCACUUCCUGCCCGGCUCCUCCCUUCUCUCCCGCAGGGGUGGGGGUGAGAGGCCUGGGCAGGAUCAGCUCCCUUCACACAGUUUCCUCAGGUGCCUCCACUGAACCAUCUGCCAUCACACGGCCCUUCACUCCCUAGUGCUUCAGCAUGGGACACGUGUAUUCUUUAAGAAAGAGAAAAAACUGCGUCCACACUGACAUUUCCCAAUCUGAUUCUUAGAUUAUGCAAUUUCUUACUUAAAUUCUUCUAUUUCACCUCUUUUAAGAAAAAAUCUUCUUUAUCAUUGUUUACUUCCUCCUACAGGAUACUUAGGACUUCCUGAUGGCUCAGUGGUCAAGAAUCCACCCGCAGUGCAGGAGACACAGGAGACCCAGGUUAAAUGCCGAGUUGGAAAGGUCCCCCACAGAAAGAGAAGGCAACCAGCUCCAGUACCUUUGCUUGAAAAAGUCUAUGGACAGAAGAGCCUGGCAAGCUAUACUCCAUGAUGCUGCAAAGAGUUAGACACGACUGAGUGACUAGUGCUAAGGACUGGAGCCUGGGGCUGCAGCGCGUGGGCCCCAGAGUUGGGCACCCCUGAGCGGCCACACCACCGCGGGACACAUAUGGCUAACUCAGAACAGUGAUACUGUCGAUAAACUACUAACUGAAGUCAGUGUCUUGCUAUUGUUUCUACAGCUUGCACACUGAGUAUAUAAUGUUAAAGAAUAUUACAGUUGGAAUAACUGAUUUCUCUGGCUGCUUAUGUCACCAAGUCAGCCUACAAACUCAUUUAUCUCUAAUGUUGACUGUUUCAGUUAGCUUUGCUUAUGCAAAACACAGAUGGGACCCUGUGGUCAACAGUGUAAAACAGGGACUUCCCGGGUGGCCAAGGGGCUGGGACUCUGCGCUCCCGGUGCGGAGGGCCUGGGUUCUGUCCCUGGUCAGGGAGCUGGACCUUACACGCUGCAAGUGGGAACCCGAAUGUUGCGGCCAAAGGUCCCACACGCCACGAGGAGGAUCAAAGCCCGGCCACCGCAAGGGCCCAGCGCAGCCAGACAGAGAAAUAAGGACAGAAACCCUGUAAAUCCAGGUUCGUCCCGCUUCACGGGCGUGCAGAGCCCGCCCAGGCCGGCCUGCCACGCUCUGUCAGCAGACGCCCUGACGCUGGGUCUCUGGGCUGUCUCAGUCUUUUGCUAAUCAAAUACCGUCACGAUGAAUAACUACAUACAUGUCACUCUGGGCUUCUGCCAGUGUAUCUUCAGGACAGAUUUCUCAAAGUAGCGUUACCAGCCCAAGGGCGAGCACGUGCGGGGCUGGUCCAGGUGGUGCCCUUCCUGACGGGCACUGUGCUGUCUCGCCUCCCACAGCAAGUGUGAGGUGCCCUGCCCCCAGCGAGUCUGUGGUCAGAUCUGGGCGCGGCCGACCUGGUAGGUGAGGACUGGGGUGCUGGGGUCCUGGGGCAGUUUGGGUCUGCAUUUCAACUUUGUCUUUCCUUCUUGACUUUUGAGGCUGAGUAAGUUCUUUUGACUUAUAAAUAAUCUUCCUGAUUUUCAACUACAGCCUUUAAUGGAGGUGAAACACAUGGUUACAACAUGAAGUUCACGGUUCCACAGCGUCCACACGAGUGUGCGGCUGAGCAGCACUUUGUACACUCGCGUGCGUGCAGCUGCCACCUCUGUCUGCUUCCAGGAUAGCCUGUCACCCCGGGAAGAAGCCCCAUGGCCCCCAGUCACUCCCCUCCCCACCCCGCACACCACCCUCUGCUUCCCGCCUCAGGCUGCAGCAGCUUUUGAAAAUGGUAAACGUCAUAAACACUUUUCCCAUCAAGUAUGUUGAUAUAUAUGUUAUAAGCAUCUAUAUAAAUGUCCUAAACACUUUUCCCAUCAAAUAUAUUGUCUUUUCUUGUUCCUGGAUUUUAUGUUUCAUUAUUUCUUAAACCCUCAUGUAUUGUUUCACAGUGGCCCUUCGUCUCCCUCGUUGCAGAGGCUCUCUCUACAGUGAGCAGGGGCUGUUCUUCACUGCAGAGGCCGGGCUUCUCGUUAAGGCAGCUUCUCUUGUUGCGGAGCCUGCGCUCAGUAGCUGCCCCACUGCGGCGUGUGGGACCCUCCCAGACGGGAUCAGACCCCUGUCCCCUGCGCUGGCAGGCGGAUACUCACCCGCUGUACCACCAGGGACAUCCGCUUGUUCUCGGAUUUCAAAACACAUUUAGGAAGGUUUGCCCACUCCCCAGUUACAAAGAAACUCACACAUGGCUCCUGGCACUUGCUUCACUUUUCACACUUGCUCUUGGACCCACGUGUGACUUGUCUCGUCUGGUGUGUUGCCUGGGUUUGGUCUGGUCUUCUUCCGGGUGCUGACUGCUCGUCCCAUCGCUUGCUGACGACCUGGUCUCCUCCACCUCAUCGUGGACUUGGUGCUCCAGGCUCCAGGGUCUGUCUCUGCAGGCCCCGCGUCCCUGUGCUCGCGUGUCUGCAUGUGCCCGGGGCCUCGGGGUCCAGGGGCAGACCCAGAGGCAGGGAGGCCCAGACCUUCCUCCUUUCUCUUCUUGGAAAGGUUUCCUCAGCUGUUUUUGUCCUUCCCCUCCUCAUGUGAACUUUAUAAUUAGCUUUAGAUCCAGACGGGGAAACACACUCUAGUACUUCCUUAAGGGGAAGAUGCUUUGCUCAGUCACGNNNNNNNNNNNNNNNNNNNNNNNNNNNNNNNNNNNNNNNNNNNNNNNNNNNNNNNNNNNNNNNNNNNNNNNNNNNGGAGUGGGUUGCCAUUUCCUUCUCGGGGGGAUCUUCCCGACCCAGGGAUCUAACCCGCGUCCCCCACUCUGCAGGCAGAGUCCUCACCAUCUGCGGGAACAGGUAGUUUCAUAAUGAUGUUAAAUUUAUAAACUUCCUUGCUUGUAGAGAAAUGGCUUUAUGAGACUGUUUUCUUCUAGAAUGAAGGGUUCCCUCCGUCUGACCAAGUCCAAGGUGUCCUUGAGGAAGCU
rnacentral:lncRNA from 1 species